AAAAAAAGCAAAGUUCUUCCCCGGAGUCCUAAUUUCAUGUAGGAUAUUUUCCAUCCUCCAAUAUGAGGGUUCCCACUGUGAAUCGCCGUCUGGACAGCCGUCUGCCGAUCACAAAAGCUUUACGGGGACUGAAGACAAUUUAUUUUAGCUUUCGGUAUAAAGGGUCUGUGUUAGAUGUCAGAGCUACACACUUGCUUUUUAUUUUUCCCCUUCACAUGCAGCUUAGGAGCAUGCAUGCAUAUUAGUUCCCCAACGAUACGACUAGUGAAACAACAGAGUCCGUAGGAGAGAUUGAAUAUGAUGAAAA